UCCGGUUUGUCACCGGCAGUCUCGCAUGAGUCCCCAACUAAAUGCUGGCAACAUGCGACGAGGGUUGCGCUCGUUGCGGGACUUAACCCAACAUCUCACGACACGAGCCGACGACAGCCAUGCAGCACCUGUGUUACGGCUCCCUUUCGGGCACACCCCCAUCUCUGAGGGCUUCCGUACAUGUCAAGGGUAGGUAAGGUUUUUCGCGUUGCAUCGAAUUAAUCCACAUAAUCCACCGCUUGUGUGGGUCCCCGUCAAUUCCUUUGAGUUUUAACCUUGCGGCCGUACUCCCCAGGCGGUCAACUUCACGCGUUAGCUACGGUACUCAGGAAUCGCUUCCCGAACACCCAGUUGACAUGGUUUAGGGCGUGGACUAC
rnacentral:misc_RNA from 1 species